UACGGAGGGGACUAGCGUUGUUCGGAAUUACUGGGCGUAAAGCGCACGUAGGCGGAUUUGUAAGUCAGGGGUGAAAUCCCGGGGCUCAACCUCGGAACUGCCUUUGAUACUGCAAAUCUCGAGUCCGGAAGAGGUGAGUGGAAUUCCUAGUGUAGAGGUGAAAAUUCGUAGAUAUUAGGAAGAACACCAGUGGCGAAGGCGGCUCACUGGUCCGGUACUGACGCUGAGGUGCGAAAGCGUGGGGGAGCAAACAGGGAUUAAGAAA
rnacentral:rRNA from 1 species